rnacentral:rRNA from 1 species
AGCGAACGCUGGCGGCAGGCCUAACACAUGCAAGUCGAACGAAGUCUUUGGACUUAGUGGCGGACGGGUGAGUAACACGUGGGAACGUACCUUUUGGUUCGGAACAACUCAGGGAAACUUGAGCUAAUACCGGAUGAGCCCUUAGGGGGAAAGAUUUAUCGCCGAAAGAGCGGCCCGCGUUUGAUUAGCUAGUUGGUGAGGUAAAGGCUCACCAAGCUACGAUCUAUAGCUGGUCUGAGAGGAUGAUCAGCCACACUGGGACUGAGACACGGCCCAGACUCCUACGGGAGGCAGCAGUGGGGAAUCUUGCGCAAUGGGCGAAAGCCUGACGCAGCCAUGCCGCGUGAAUGAUGAAGGUCUUAGGAUUGUAAAAUUCUUUUACCAGGGACGAUAAUGACGGUACCUGGAGAAAAAGCCCCGGCUAACUUCGUGCCAGCCGCCGCCGUAAAAC